CCUACGGGUGGCAGCAGUGGGGAAUAUUGGACAAUGGGGGCAACCCUGAUCCAGCCAUGCCGCGUGUGUGAAGAAGGCCCUCGGGUUGUAAAGCACUUUCAGUGAGGAAGAACGCCUGGUGGUUAAUACCCAUCAGGAAAGACAUCACUCACAGAAGAAGCACCGGCUAACUCCGUGCCAGCAGCCGCGGUAAUACGGAGGGUGCGAGCGUUAAUCGGAAUUACUGGGCGUAAAGCGCGCGUAGGUGGCUUGAUAAGCCGGUUGUGAAAGCCCCGGGCUCAACCUGGGAACGGCAUCCGGAACUGUCAAGCUAGAGUGCAGGAGAGGAAGGUAGAAUUCCCGGUGUAGCGGUGAAAUGCGUAGAGAUCGGGAGGAAUACCAGUGGCGAAGGCGGCCUUCUGGACUGACACUGACACUGAGGUGCGAAAGCGUGGGUAGCAAACAGAAUUAGAUACCCUUGUAGUC
rnacentral:rRNA from 1 species